rnacentral:rRNA from 1 species
GACCUUCGGGCCUUGCGCUAUCAGAUGAGCCUAGGUCGGAUUAGCUAGUUGGUGGGGUAAUGGCUCACCAAGGCGACGAUCCGUAACUGGUCUGAGAGGAUGAUCAGUCACACUGGAACUGAGACACGGUCCAGACUCCUACGGGAGGCAGCAGUGGGGAAUAUUGGACAAUGGGCGAAAGCCUGAUCCAGCCAUGCCGCGUGUGUGAAGAAGGUCUUCGGAUUGUAAAGCACUUUAAGUUGGGAGGAAGGGCAGUAAGCGAAUACCUUGCUGUUUUGACGUUACCGACAGAAUAAGCACCGGCUAACUCUGUGCCAGCAGCCGCGGUAAUACAGAGGGUGCAAGCGUUAAUCGGAAUUACUGGGCGUAAAGCGCGCGUAGGUGGUUUGUUAAGUUGAAUGUGAAAGCCCCGGGCUCAACCUGGGGAACUGCAUCCAAAACUGGCAAGCUAGAGUACGGUAGAGGGUGGUGGAAUUUCCUGUGUAGCGGUGAAAUGCGUA